UAUUCCAGGGGCACUCCCCAGCACACACCCUCCUGCCUGCAAAUCUCUGCCUCAGAUUCUGUUUCCUGGGUAACCUGACCUAAGAAAAUUGAUCAUACAUAGAACCCUACUGUAACUGACUCCUUUGAAGAACUAUGAAAGAUGAGGGAGUGAGAAAAAAAAAAAAAUCACAGUGUCCCAUAUCUCUGUUAAGCUGUAGACCUCAAAGCAUGUCACAGAGAACCUAAAUGACACCUAUCGCAAUGAAGCACAGAUUUUACCUGAAUGGUGAAGUUUUAAUCAUUUUUCUGAAAAUGAUUAUCAGAAAUCAGAAAAUAUAAAUAUAGCUGUACUACUUUUUAAAAUUGAAAUAAAGAAACAUAUUUUUAAAACCUU
rnacentral:lncRNA from 1 species